GACGAACGCUGGCGGCGUGCCUAACACAUGCAAGUCAACUUGACUGAAGGAGCAAUCUGACAGUAGAGUGGCGCAAGGGUGCGUAACGCGUAAGUAACUUGCCCCAAGGUAAGGAAUAACGUCGAGAAAUCGGCGCUAAUACCUCAUAAUGCAGCGGAUCCGCAUGGAUAUGUUGUUAAAGGUUUACCGCCUUGGGAUAGGCUUGCGUCUGAUUAGCUAGUUGGUGUGGUAACGGCACACCAAGGCUACGAUCAGUAACUGGUCUGAGAGGAUGAUCAGUCACACUGGAACUGAGACACGGUCCAGACUCCUACGGGAGGCAGCAGUGAGGAAUAUUGGGCAAUGCUCGAAAGAGUGACCCAGCAACGCCGCGUGGAGGAUGAAGGUAUUCUAUAUCGUAAACUCCUGUGAGAGCAGACGAAAGACAGAUUAUAAUCUGGAUGACUGUAUGCUCAGA
rnacentral:rRNA from 1 species